GAUGAACGCUGGCGGCGUGCUUAACACAUGCAAGUCGAACGGAAAGGCUCCUGCUUGCAGGGGUACUCGAGUGGCGAGCGGGUGAGUAACACGUGGGUGAUCUGCCCUGCACUUCGGGAUAAGCCUGGGAAACUGGGUCUAAUACCGGAUAGGACCACAUUUUGGAUGGUGUGGUGGAAAGUUUUUCGGUGUGGGAUGAGCUCGCGGCCUAUCAGCUUGUUGGUGGGGUAAUGGCCUACCAAGGCGUCGACGGGUAGCCGGCCUGAGAGGGUGUACGGCCACAUUGGGACUGAGAUACGGCCCAGACUCCUACGGGAGGCAGCAGUGGGGAAUAAUGCACAAUGGGCGCAAGCCUGAUGCAGCGACGCCGGGUGGGGGAUGACGGCCUUCGGGUUGUAAACUCCUUUCGCUAGGGACGAAGCGCAAGUGACGGUACCUGGAGAAGAAGCACCGGCUAACUACGUG
rnacentral:rRNA from 1 species